rnacentral:tRNA from 3 species
GCCCCAGGUCACUGGUACGGUCUCCCAGCCGCUCUCCUAAAGCGGGUGUCGCAGGUUCGAAUCCUGCCGGGGGCA